rnacentral:lncRNA from 1 species
CAGCCGCAGACCCUACCCCACACACCUGCUAGGGGCCGGCGGCCUGGGAGGCUCGACGCUCGCCUGGCCUCUCCUCCAGAGACUCUUUUCAACCCUGCUGGACCCCGAGCCCUGCCGUAGCUGCCGGGUGACAGGGAGCGGGUCGCAGUGCACCCGGCCCAGUGGACAAGGCCUUAUGAAGCCAAGGCUGGUCUCCAACUCACCAGAUAGCCACCAAAGAUGACCUUGAACUUCUGAUUUUCCUUCUUCCAACUCUCAAAUUCUGGAUGUGAUCUCUUGAAAGGAGAGAGACAGAGGUCUCGAUCUCUUUUGGGUUGUGAAGACCAGGUCAAGUGGCAUGAAACCAUGUGUGACUGAUCCCCACUCCCUUGGUCCCCUGGAGCUGGACUUGCAGAUGUGAGCUGUUUUGCUGUUCCCUUCCCUUUAUCACAGUUGGUGAGGCCAUCUUACCUACAGCUAAGAGACCAUGAAGUAUACCUUGAGACAAGCUUGCUUGGGUCUGAAACGAGGCAGAACACAGCCUUGCUUCCAGAGUGAUGUUCUCAGUGUGCU